UUGCCUUAAACUAAUGAGUAAGGAAAACAAAGCGGGUGGUGGGAGCUGCCCGCCGCGCUAAAGUUAUCUUGCGCAAUGAUUUUUGGAGGGGUUAUAGGCUGGCCGGGUGCUGACGCUGCUUACUUCGCAGAACUCGCCUGUGCCGGCCUCCC